UACGUAGGGAGCAAGCGUUGUCCGGAAUCAUUGGGCGUAAAGCGCGUGUAGGCGGCUUGGUAAGUCUGCUCUGAAAGCCCGGGGCUCAACCCCGGGAGGCGGGUGGAUACUGCUGAGCUCGAGUCCGGAAGAGGCGAGUGGAAUUCCUGGUGUAGCGGUGAAAUGCGCAGAUAUCAGGAGGAACACCGAUGGCGAAGGCAGCUCGCUGGGCCGGUACUGACGCUGAGACGCGAAAGCGUGGGGAGCAAACAGG
rnacentral:rRNA from 1 species